AUGCAUCAAGCAAAUAGGAUCAAACUACAAUUUGGACAUUUACAAGGGAUACCUGAAGAACCUCGAUGCCUGACUGAACACCAUAAGAUGACAACAACAAAAGCGCGCCAAAAAGCAUAUACCACAUUAUACUCUGAUGAACAAAACUAUGCAACACAACAAAAUCCUCCAACAACAAAGACCGAACAACAAUAUGGUUUUGGUCAUCGUGCUCUGCGACCGCGUUAUUGUUUUACCGGUACUCGUUUCGGACCGGAUCAUCAGCAUUAA